rnacentral:tRNA from 1 species
CAGGAUAUGGCUGAGCCAGUUAAGCAUCUCACUUACACCGAGAAGACAUCCAUGCAAGUUGGAUUAUCCUGA